rnacentral:rRNA from 1 species
GGGUCAGUAGGUUGGUCGUGCCACCGGUACGUACUGGUCUCACUGAUUCCUCCUUCCUGAAGAACCGUAAUGCCAUUAUUUGGUGUUGCGGGGAAACAGGACUGUUACUUUGAAAAAAUUAGAGUGUUUAAAGCAAGCUAACGCUUGAAUACAUUAGCAUGGAAUAAUGAAAUAGGACGAUCGAUCCUAUUUUGUUGGUUUCUAGGAUUGACGUA